rnacentral:lncRNA from 1 species
AUGUUUAUGUUGUCCUCUGACCUCCUUAUGCACACAUGCUGACACAAUAAAUAAAUAAGUGAAUAAUUGUUAUAAAAUAUUUGAAGACCUUAAUUACAAGAGGAUAGUUAGCAAUUGGUAUUUUGGAUUCAUGAAAGGGCCAUUUUUUAAAUAAAAACUAAUUACAUGUACUCAGGUAAUGAGCUAUUACUUGUCAUCUGUCCCUAACAGGAACUAAAUUGAGCUUGUUUGGCUCCUCCAAAAAUGGAUUUGGGUUCAAACAGAGUGACCUUGACGUCUGUAUGACGAUUAACGGACAUGAGACUGCUGAGGUACGGUUGCCACGUGAACACACAUGUGCUGUGAGCAUGUGGUUAGCGCCGUCCUCACUGGCAGAACUGCGAGGCAUCUGGAAUGUACGGGGCAUUCCACAUGCAGUGCACCAGGAAGCACAGCCUCUGGCUUCUGCGCUGACAUUCUUGGAGGGGGUGUGAAGAGUAGAACAAAGCUCUGGCUGGGCAUGGGUGGUGCACACCUGUGGUCCCAGCUCCUGGGAGCCUCAUGAAGGAGGUUUGCUAGAAGUUCAAGGUCAGCCUGGGCUGCCUAGCAAGAGCCUGUCUCACCAAAAAAACAACACACACACAUACACACAGAGACUGGAUAGCUUUAAAGGGGCUUUUCCAGUGUAGUACAGAUUGGACUAGAUUCCGUGAAGCUAGACCACCUUCACCAGUGCCCAUUGGCUUGGCUACUAGACCAGUACACCUACCUAUCCCCCGUUACCUGUGAUGUCGGUUUGCUUGUCCGUGGUGAGUAUUAGCUUUAUAGCUCAGGACCUGCAUUUGAGACAAACUUGGUCUUACUAGCACCAAAACAUGUGUCCUUUGGUAGAUAACAGAAGGAAUAAUUUCUGUUCCCUUCUGCUUUGAGAAAUUCUGUAAUUGGGUGGCUUUGAUCGUGUGUAUCAGGAGGCAGCAGAGAGGAGACUUUGUUAAGAUGCAGCUCAGAGCCUGCUUGUGGGGGUGGGGGUGAUUUGUUCCUCUCUCCCUGAAGACAGACUUGUCUGCAACUCUGUUCCUCCUGCCUCAGCCUGAGGCCUGAGCCUGUGGCGUGUGCCCUCAGGACACUCUUUGCUGCCUGUUUUUACAGUUUUAUUAGCACAGUGCCACACCCAGACUUGGAUGUGUUCUCUGAGGCUGCUUUCUUUCUGAUAACAAAGUCUGGAAAGUGCUGGAGACAGGAUCCAGUAUCUUGUGCAUGCCAGGUGGGGGCCAUCCUUCCAGCCACACCUGUCACUGAGGGACACUUCAGAAGCAGUGCUGGUGGAGACACUGUUGACUCAGUGGCUGACUACACUGCCACUGCUCAGGGACUCUCAUGGCUUUGUUCUGAAUCUGUAUUCUGAUGGUGUUCCUGACUUCAGGAGAAUAGUCAAACCAGGGUCUACCUGGGAUUUGCUGAAUGGUGUGGGGUGAGAUUAAGUCUACCAUAAGGAGUAACCCACUAUAUCCCCUCAAAGUUGAUCCUCAUUAAUGUGGUUUAUAAACUACCUUUGACAGUAUUUCUAAAGUAAAAUUCUGAAUAGGUUGUAGGGUCUGUGUAACCAUCAGGAUUUACUCCAGUGGGGAUGACAGCCAUACUUUAACAUGCCAAGGCACAAUGCUAUGUGCUUGUAUCCCAAAACAAAGGGGACAUAGGCAAGAGGGCUUUGAAUCUGAGGUCAGACUGGGCGCAGACGCUUUGGUCUGAAAAACAGCAAAAAUACCAUUCCAAAUUGCUGCAUGACUUCAAUUUUAGCUAGUCCUAGCAGGAAGUAGACUGAGUUAGACCACUCUCCACAGCAGGCCAUGAGAUCUUAGUUAAACUGUGUAUAGAUAUAGUUGCGUGCAGCAUAGAUGAGACAGCACAGACGCUUCUCUUGCAUGCCAUACCUACGGUACUCUUCCAAGGGAGGUAACUACCUAGGGGAGUGGGGGAGAGUCAAUGUCUUCAUGGUUUAAAGACCUUUCUGGAAGCUCCUAUUUGGUCUUUUGUUGUACAUCCAAAGCAAUUAAGGUAUGUUUGGAGGCUUGCAUAUCCUUAGGGUGUUUUGUAUGUGUGGUAACUGACACUCACC